CAUUUGCGGGGGUGGCAGUUCAGGUAUUCUUGGAUUUACUCCAGCAAUGAGCUCCUCUCAUCCACAACACAUCACUCCGCCAGAGGGAGCCUUUCUAGUCCAGGGUACCUAGUGCACGGGAAGAUGAGCUUCAAAGUGCUUUGCAAUUGGGGUUUGUUCCUAAUCCAGCCGUGAACAAUCUUGGACAGAAUGGCAGCAUGAAGGCGGAGCCAUAAAUGGAAACAUGUAGAGAGGCAUUUGGAAUCUUUCCCCCGACAACCUGUAUUCAGUGCCAUUCUUUGGGAAGUCAGAUAACCGUGCCUGUUGAAAUCACAUGUUAGGAGUUCAGUUUUUAGGCUUUCAUCCAUAGUGUUUGACCAUUCACUUUGGCUAUUCGAUCUUCCUUCCUGUUGACUAAUAUACUGACACCUUAAAUAACUGUGCUUCUAGGAGGACCAAAGGCGGCAUGUGUUGCUUGUGCAGGUUUUGCUACGCUUUCUGUUCUGAUCGAGAAAUUUCUUGACAGACAUGAUUGGUUCAAUGGGAAACUUUGUAUACUGAUUCUUCUCGGCAUACUUAGUUGAGUUGAUAUUGUGAAGUGCAGAUCUACUCAAUUUUCCAAAUCAGUGAGGAUAUUCCUUAUUUUUCAACUUAAUCAUGAUUCAUUUGUUUCCCAAUUUUUUUAGGGCAUGUCACAAGCAACUUGUUACAGCCCUUCUGACGUGGUUUCUUUGGUCGGCUGAAUGCUACCAAAGCAAUCAAAUUGAUUUAAUGGUAUAGAAACUAUACAUGUAACAAUUUAA